rfam:Williamsia sp. D3 Contig0032, whole genome shotgun sequence.
AGCGGUCCUCGGUAGUGGCUCCCGGAGACACGAUUCUCCGGCGGCUUCGAUCGAUGGCCGUC